AAGCUUGCUUCACUUGCCGGCGACCGGCGCACGGGUGAGUAACGCGUAUCCCACCUUCCGUACACUCAGGGAUAGCCUUUCGAAAGAAAGAUUCAUACCUGAUGGUAUGAUGAGAUUGCAUGAUAGCAUCAUUAAAGAUUUAUCGGUGUACGAUGGGGAUGCGUUCCAUUAGGUAGUAGGCGGGGUAACGGCCCACCUAGCCGACGAUGGAUAGGGGUUCUGAGAGGAAGGUCCCCCACAUUGGAACUGAGACACGGUCCAAACUCCUACGGGAGGCAGCAGUGAGGAAUAUUGGUCAAUGGACGAGAGUCUGAACCAGCCAAGUAGCGUGAAGGAUGAAGGUCCUACGGAUUGUAAACUUCUUUUAUAAGGGAAUAAAACCUCCCACGUGUGGGAGCUUGUAUGUACCUUAUGAAUAAGCAUCGGCUAACUCCGUACCAGCAGCCGCGGUAAUACGGAGGAUGCGAGCGUUAUCCGGAUUUAUUGGGUUUAAAGGGAGCGCAGACGGGUCGUUAAGUCAGCUGUGAAAGUUUGGGGCUCAACCUUAAAAUUGCAGUUGAUACUGGCGUCCUUGAGUGCGGUUGAGGUGUGCGGAAUUCGUGGUGUAGCGGUGAAAUGCUUAGAUAUCACGAAGAACUCCGAUUG
rnacentral:rRNA from 1 species